GGGAAUUUCCAUAUGCCACAGGAGCAGCCUUAAAAAAAAAAAAGAAAAAAAAAAAAAAAGAAUCUCCUGGUAAACUUUAAAAACUAUUGGCACCUAAGGAGUUCUUGCUGUGGCUCAGCUGAAAUGAACCCAACUAAUACCCAUGAGGAUGCUGGUUUGAUCCCUGGCCUUGCCUAGUGGGUUAAGGAUCCGGCGUUGCUGUGAACUAUGGUGUAGGUCAUAGACAUGGCUUGGAUCCAGCGAUGCUGUGCGUGUGGCCCUAAAAAGCAAAAAAAAAAAGCAAAAACCAAAAAACCCUAAAACAUUGGCACCCGGCUUCUACUCUAGACAAUUUGAGUUAAUUGGUGUGGGAUGGGACCCAAACACGGGGUUAUCAGAAAGGUCCCCACGUGAUUUUAAUGUGCAGCAGUUUGAAAGCUACCCGACACAUCCCAGGGCCUCAACUCCCACCUCCAGCACAGCGCAUUUACGCUGGUGAAAGUGUUAGCGCUGCCCCAGCGCAUCAGGAUUGUUCCCAGUCUGCUUACCACGGGCAACAGGGACCCUGUGCCUUCGGACCAACUGGUGGGCAAUUCAGCUCCCAUCCUGAGGAUCUGCUCUCUAGGUCUCAUACUUGGAACGGUCUCUGCCGAGAAUCCCUAGAAAAUAGAGGCUGAGCAGAAGGUUAUGUGCUACAACUUUAUUAAGCAACAGAAUUCCAGGGAGCAGAGGGAAGAGAGAGGGCUGAUAAAAGGAGGUGCGUUACCAAGCUGGUCCCAGCUCCAUGAGAGACUGAUUGCUCCACCCUGCAGCCCAGCUGCAGAGACCACGUGACACUACCAGCCUCAGACUGUCCCUCCCCGGGAAAGAGGGGAGAAGGAUUUACCCUCCAGCUCCCAUCUUCCACUGGCCCUGGUUUGCCAGCUGCCAUUUCCAGGUUGUGUACAUAUCUGCAAACUUCUCAUGAAAUCCCACAUCUCAGAAGGGGAGAGGCAGGAGCAGUGCAGCCUGGUGUGUGAAGAGAGGCACCGGAACAGCUGCUGUGGAACCCACACCACCCUCAAACUUGACGACUUCAAAGAGCAACCAUUUCAUUGGUUCACCACUCUACAGAAACCAGGCCAAGAGUGGUGGGGUAACUGGUGCAAGCAUGGCUCAUCGGCGGUGGCUCUAACGUGCAAACCCAGCUCUUCAGCACUUCUCCAUAGAGGAUGGGAUCUGUGUCUCCGGGGGCUGCGGUAACAAACACCACAGACCAGUGAUGGUGACAAUUGAGCUGUGCCAGAACAACCAAGGCUGGAUCGACUGGCUCUCACCACCUGGACCAUGAGGGACUGUCCUUCUCAGGCUUCCAGCACAGCCACCUCCUGCCGGGGGAUGCAGGAAUCAGGCCACCUCCGUCUGUCCUUGCCAGAAACUAGGCUGCACCACAAGAAGCUCCUGGCUUAGCCCUGGAUCCUAACUGUCACGUGGCCAGAGAAACUGGUAAUGGUUUUGUGUUGCAUGUUGAAUUGUUUAGUGACAGAAAGAUUGUGUUCAAUUUCCUGAGGUGGCUGAAGUGUGGAGCCCGAUGGCAAUUUAUUCACCAGGAAAUGUGCUUCCCAGCAGGAGGGUUGGUCCCCUGUCCAGAGAUGAGAGCCCCCUCAUGUGUGACCUGUGCCUCCCAGGAGAGCAGCUGUAAGCUAGUUUAAAUCUGACCAAGUUCUGUCUACACAAUAGAUUUAGACCUCCCUAGAUUCUGUCUACACUGGAUAUUUAGACCCAAGAGUGAUCUGUCUACACUGAGCACAUUUAUACCUAGAUAUGUUCUGCCUACACUGGAACACUUACCAUGAAGGUGUCCUGUCUACACUGAGUAUAUUUAGACGUGACCAAGUUCUGUCUAUACUGGGAAAUGUAAACAUGACCAUCUUUUUAACGCCAAGGACAUUUAGACCUGACCUGUGCUGUGUACACAGACUAUGGAGACCUGGGUAGAGACUCAGCUUGGCCUCCGUCUUGGGAGUUUCAGGGUGGACAUGGAGAACUGGGUAGAGAGCCAAUGUGGCUCUAGCUCUGGAGCUUUGGGGGGACCCAGCCUGUAAGCUCCCCGCCUGCAUCUGGAUGUCAGUGCUCAGAGGUCUGGUGUAGAGCUGACGGGGGUGCUUGUCUGGGUAACACCUCUGCUCUGGGUUUGGUUACAUGGCCCUCCUAGGAGUUGGUGCUGGGAGGAAUGGGGGGAGUUGUUCCUCCCCCCAAAAGGUUCCCUUCCCUGGAGCUGGUGAGGACUCCUCAGGUGAGCUACCUGGUGAUCAUUCCCAUUCAUCAGCACACACAGGGCGAGGAGGGCAGCAGGUUUACCUGGUGAAUUGAUUGCUGGGAAUGUGGAUCCCAGCUUAAGGCUGAUCGACAGCAGGUGUGCUGGCCGCUGUGCUCACCUUCCAGGCAGCCAGCCCCACUCAGCAGAGUCGGGACCUGCCUCUCCUCUCUCGGCCCCGCUGUCCCAUGAAUUUUCUCAACACUUCAGCGAGAAAGGAGAGGGCCAAGCCCACCAGAAGCAAGGUGGGAUCUUCAGAUGCAGAAUAUGGUGGGGGCAGCGGUGUAACCAUUCUUGGUUAAUAGUAGUUUCCACCACUGAGACUUCUCAUUUGGAUGCAAAUGCUUCUCAAUUGAGGAAGGUUAUUAUAGUUAUUGCCGGUAAUGAAAUGAAUGAGCCUACGGAUGAAAUAUUUCAUGCAGUUGGAGUAAUGUUGUGACGUCCCUGAAAGGUCAAGAAAGUACUGUGGGAAGAAGGUCAUAUUUAUUACUACAGAUAUACCUGUGAAGUGAAUUUUCGUGCUUGGUACAUGUAUAAGCUGCGAAUAGUGGAAAUCGGUGUUCGAAAUGCUAUCCUAGUGAAGACUGCUCCCGCUGACGUUGCAUUACGGAAGUGCACAGCUACAGAGCGUGUAUCUUGGAGGACAGUGGCCGCGGAUGAAUUGGCUAAGAUGAUUCCUGUCAAACUACCUACUCAAAAUAGAAAAAGAAAGCCUGAAGCUCAUACUGUAGUGAGAAAUCAUGUAAUAGUGCCUCUGUAAUGAGUUGCUAAUCAGCUAAAUACUUGUACUCCUGUAGGGACAGAAAUAAUUACAGUAGCUGAUGUAAAGUAGGCUCACGGGUUUGACAUGUGAUGGGCCUGCAAGAAUCCUAAAAAGCCAAUGGACAUGACUCAUAAUAUUCCCAUAAAUCUGAAAGGCUCCUUUUGUCCUAAGCGGUAUGUAAUGAUAUGUGAAAUGAUUCCAAACUCUGUAGGCUACGAAUAUAAACUUCAGGGUGACCAAAGAAUCAAAAUAAGUGUUGAUAUAGGAUUGGGUCUCCUCCUGCAGGGUCAGAGAAAGUAGGGUAUAGAUUUCUAUCUGGUAGCAGCAUGAUAAAGCUGGAGUGAUAAUUAUACUUCUAUGGCUAUAAUUGGGGCAGCUCAAACAAAUAAUGGUGUUUGGUAUUGGGGUAUGUCUGCUGGUUUUCUAUUAAAGAUUGUGGUCAUACAAGUAAUAGCACCAAGACCUGAGGAAACAGCUGCUAAAUGUAAGGACAAAGUUGUUAGGUCAUCAGAGGCUCCUGCGUGGGCCAGAUUGCUGGCUAGAGGUGGCUGUACACUUCAGCCAGUACAAGAAGCAGCUUCUACUACUGAUGACAUGAAGAGGAAUAAGGAAGGGGGCAGCAGUCAAAAGCUCACAGCAUUUCUUCCAGGAAAUGCUCUAUCAGGUGCCCCAGUUACUGGUGGGACAAAUCAGUUUCUGAACCCUCCAAUCAUAACUGGUACAACUAUAAAUAAAAUUGUUACAAAUGAGGGGCGGUCAUGGCUGCGUCACAGAUUUGGACAUCUCCAAGCAGCGCUCCAGAUUAGCAUAGCUCAGCAUGGAUUAAAGGACUUCAAAUGGUGGCCUCCUAUUCCAGCUCAAGCACCAAAGAGUAAAUAUAAAGUGCUGAUAUCUUUGUGAUUUCUUGAAAAUAAUCAGCGGUUUGUGAACACAGGUGAAAUAACUGAGCUAGCAUUAGACUAUAAAUCUAAAGAGACUGAACCUUUCUGCCAAACUCUGUGGUGAAUCAACAAAUUGAAUUGCAAAUACAAAGAAGUGGCUUCAGUUCUGCUGGUGUUUUGCCUGCCUUUUUUUUUUUUUUUUUUUUUUCCGCUCAACAGCGAGAGUAGAUUGAAGCCAGUUGACUCGAGUAUUUACCUGUUAACUAAAAUUUCCUGGGGUGGAAGCCCAUCAAUCUCUCAAGGAUUUAGAUUAAUUAAAAUGUCUUAUUUACAUUCAGUUGAAGUAGAAUAGUCUUGCAAACCUUAUUUUCAGGAAUUAAGUAAAGUGUACUUGCUUAGGGUUUUGAAAGCUCUUGGUCUACACUAUCCUAAAUUCCUAGUCCAGCACUGACAGAACAGAUAUUAAAGGUAGCAAUAGUGUGGACAUUACAAUUAGUAAUGAUAGGAAGGUUAUUUGCUUUGUAUGUUUGAAUUGUCAUUUUAUUUUUAUUUUGCUUAUUUAGUUAGGGAUGUGGAGUAUGUUAGCAAGUAGAAAUAUAUAUUAAGUAGUGCUCCAGUGGCUAAUGGUGUUAGUAGAAUGAUGUUAUCAGUUUUCUUAUCUCUAGGAUAAUUAUUCUUUUAGGUAAAAACACAUAAUGAUGCUAUGAAGGUGAGGAUAAAGGAGUUCCCAUCAUGGCUCAGUGGAAAUGAACCUGAUGAGUAUCCAUGAGGACGCAGGUUCGA